UUUUUUUUUUUUCUUCAUUAAGUUAAUUUAACAAGUUCAUUUUUAACUAUAUUUACAGUUUUAAAUUUAUUUCCUUUUUGGCUUUCAUAUUUAAGUAAAAAUUGUUUAUCUAUGAAUAUCUUCAGUUGUUAUCAUGAAACCAUAGUUUAAUGAGCAUUUAUGCUUAUUAUUGCCUUUUAAUUGUUGCUGCUGUUCUUUUGUACUUAAUUUUAAACUUCAGUUGUUAUUUAGAUUCCUAAAUUUCAUUGUUGAUAUUUGCAGGUGCUCUCCUUACUCCCACCGUAUGAAGGGAAAACCAUUCUGGAACUAGGAGCUGGCAUUGGUCGAUUUACUGGUGACUUAGCUAAGAAGGCUGGUCAUGUUAUAGCAUUAGACUUCAUUGAGAAUGUUAUAAAGAAGGUCAUUGAAACUCAACCUGACAGAAAAUUUUUAGUUUGCUAAUUAAUAAGGGACUUGACUGGAUUUCAUUAAUUGCAGAAUGAAACCAUCAAUGGGCAUUAUAAGAACGUCAAAUUCCUCUGUGCGGAUGUCACUUCCCCUGAUUUGGCUUUUACAGAAGGAUCAUUGGACUUGAUUUUCUCAAACUGGCUGUUGAUGUAUCUCUCAGAUAAAGAGGUGAUUUUUGUUGCUUCUUCUUCAAUAACAUGGAAAAAAAAAAAGAGAGUUCUUAGGGGCAAAUUAGCUAUUGAUUUCAAUUUUUUUUUACUUGCUGAAUUCGGCUACCCCAUUUUUGGCUUUCAAAUUUCUAAUAAAGCAUAUUUUUGAGUAUAUCUGUCUGAAAGUAUUAUUAAAUGCAGGUUGAGAAUUUGGCCGAAAGGAUGCUCAAGUGGUUGAAGGUUGGUGGGCAUAUUUUCUUCAGGGAGUCUUGCUUUCAUCAAUCUGGUGAUUGCAAGAGAAAGAACAACCCAACUCACUAUCGCGAGCCCAGAUUUUACACUAAGGUUUUACUUGAACUUAUCUUUGAUUAGAUGUCUUGUGACCUGAGGACUGAAAUAUGUAUGAAACAAAGUGAUCUAAUCUUUCUUUCAUAUUCAAACAUACGUUUUUCAUGUAUUAUAACACAGGUCUUUAAAGAAUGCCAAGCAACUGAUGAUUCUGGAAAUUCAUUUGAACUUUCUCUUGUUGGCUGCAAGUGCAUUGGAGCUUAUGUUAAGAACAAAAAGAAUCAGAAUCAGGCAACAGAAAAUGAUCUCAUUGAUUAGUAUAUAUAUUUUGUUGUUGAAUUUUAAAUUUACUGACAAGGUGCAACAUAUUGUUUGCAUAUUCAGAUUUGCUGGAUCUUCCAAAAAGUUGUUUCUGAUAAUGAUAAGGGAUUCCAGCGCUUCUUGGAUUCUGUUCAGUACAAAUCUAAUAGCAUUCUCCGUUAUGAGCGUAUCUUUGGACCAGGAUAUGUGAGCACAGGAGGAAUUGGUAUCCUUCUUCAACGAAAUGUUUUUAUUUGUUCUACAUCUUUUAUUAAAGGAAUUUGUUACACAUAAGUACAGAAAUAGGGAAGGAAAGAUGGAACAUGCAUGUUAAACAGUAAAAUUUUCUCACUUACUGUAUUAAAUUUUAAUACCACAUACCGGGAUUUGUAUACCUAGUAGCAGAAAUGGUUUUGGAGUAGAAAUUUCAUCUUUUCCAGUGUAAUAUCUGAACCUCAAAACUGCUGAGAUUAUAGAGGGUAUCCGCUGCAUUUGUAACUUCCUCUUAGGCUUCACCCUUUGUCAUAGUUUCUCUUAUUUAGUUAGUUCUAUCGCAUCAGCAUCCCCCUUAUAUGAACUUGUUUUUGAGCAGAAACAACAAAAGAAUUUGUGGGGAAGUUAGAUCUUAAGCCUGGCCAAAAGGUCCUAGAUGUUGGCUGUGGCAUUGGUGGAGGUGACAUUUAUAUGGCUGAGGAAUUUGAUGUUCAUGUUGUGGGCAACGACCUCUCUGUAAACAUGAUAUCCUUUGCUCUUGAACGAGCUACUGGACUGAAAUGCUCAGUGGAAUUUGAAGUUGCUGAUUGCACCAAGAAGGUUUAUCCGGACAACAGUUUUGAUGUUAUCUACAGCCGUGACACUAUUCUACACAUUCAUGUAAGAGGACUAGAUAACCAAUAAGAAAAGUUUUCCUUUUAAAGUGAUUUAAAGAUUUAGAAGUUGAGCAUAGGCAUCAAAAUAAGAAUGGAAGUUGCUAUUUGAAAAACCGUAAAUCAUUUGGGCUUUUCUCGAUCCACUUUGUUAUUCUCAUAUUUUUGCAUCAAAAAUCGACUUUCAGGACAAACCUGCACUGUUUAGAUCUUUCUACAAAUGGUUGAAGCCAGGAGGCAAACUCCUCAUAAGUGAUUACUGCAAAAGUUCCAAGACUCCAUCCAGGGAGUUUGCUGAGUAUAUCAAGCAGAGAGGCUAUGAUCUUCAUGAUGUAAAAUCAUAUGGACAGGUAUAUUCAAAUUAAUAAUCAUUUGCUGUUUCCAUUUCAUACACUUGUUGAUCUGCCUUGUGUUAUUGUUUGCAGAUGCUUGAGGAUGCUGGUUUUGAUGUGAUUCUUGCAGAGGAUCGAACCGAUCAGGUUCAGAUAAGACUAUCAAAUUGAUUUUUAGUUAGUCAUGUUUUUGAAUAUGGUUAUGAAAGGCUAAUGGAAUGUUGUUGUGGUGGUGGUUUUAGUUCUUACAAGUUCUGCGGCGUGAAUUGAACCAAGUGGAGAAAGAGAAGGAUGCAUUCAUCUCUGACUUCUCUAAGGUUAGGUUUCCUUUUCCAUCAUCUUGUUAAACCUAUCGAGUUGGGAUGUAAGUAAUGGUACAUAAUAAUGUUUUGGUGAAAAUUCAGGAAGACUAUGAUGAAAUAGUUGGUGGAUGGAAGGCAAAGCUGAUAAGAAGCUCAUCAGGGGAGCAGAGAUGGGGCCUUUUCCUUGCCAAGAAGAAGAAGAAUUAAAUCCUGCUGCCUGCUCAUCUUUAUGUUAAAUAAGUAAAUAAAUAAAUGCAGUUAGGCAUAUGUGUGCAAGAAACUAUUUCCUGCUUGCAAUUAUCAGUUGUUAUUGUAGUUUGAUAUUUUGGUAUUAGUAUGAAGUUUGUGGUUUGAAUAAAUUAUCCUUUUCCAGUAGUAAUUUGGAUGGUCUGAAUCCAAAUAGUUCCGAUGUCACCCAAGUUUUGGUAUUAUAUCUUUCUAACAUAUCUCACUUCUGAAUAUGUGAUUUUAGUUUAAAGGUAUAAACAAAUAUAUAAAAUAGUGAAAAUAAUUUACAAAACGCUGUACAGUAUAAAGAUUUAUCUACUUGAAAAAUAAAUAUUUAUAAAAAGGACUUUUAAGAAUUAAAUAAUGUUUAAAAGUUAUAAAGUGUAUUUUCUUAAAAUGAAGUUAAAAACUCUAAACACCAAAUCAAGAAUUACAAAAAAAAUCAAUAAUCAAAUAAAAUUAUCACGGAUUAUUCAAAACAAUUUAAAAAUUAGAUAAUUACAAUGUUAUUUGAAUUAGGGUGAGAUAUGGAUUUGGUGGAGUUUUAUAGAUUUGUUAAAUCCUCCAUUAUAAUUCCAUUAGCUUCAAUUCUGUUUUCGAUUUUUCAUAUUUAUUUUUUUUAAAAAAAUUUAGACUUUUGAUAAAAUAAGUUUUAUUUUAUGACUUUUGAAUAUUAUUUAAUAAAAUAUCAAUGUCUUUUUCAUAAAAAAAUUUUAAAAAAUUUUAAAAACUUUUAAAUCAUUUUCACUAUUUUAAAUAUAAAAUAUUUAUUUUUACAUCAUAAAAAAUUAAAUUAAAUUAUAUAUUAAAUAAAAAUUAGAAUUAGGUUAAAUUUUGGGUAACCUCAAUUUUAAAGUUUCAUUACAUAAACCAACAAAUACCUCAAUUCAAAUUUUGAUUUCAUCGGUUUGCUCGCUCAACCUUUAUUUAAAUUGAAUCAAUAUAUUUCAAGCCUAGAUAAGUUCCAGAUUUUUUAUUAUUUUUCUUGUCAAUAAAAUAAAAGUAAAUAGAUACAAAUAAUAAUCCUUCAAUUGAUAAAAAUGUUAUUAUUAUUUUUCUUUUAAUAUUAUUCAUAUUCAGAGUUCAUAAUUAUUUCUCUUAACAAUAUCACCACUUUUUUUUAUUUACCAAUUUUUAGUACUUCAGUUAAUACUAAACGAUUUGGUCGUGAAAACCAACUUAAUACUUAUUAGGCUGCUUAGAAGAAGUCAUGUGACUUUUUCUAAAGAAAGUCACGUCAAAAGAAUGAUAUUUCAUAAAUAAUACAUUAGUUUUACUUGUUGAAUAUUUCUAUUCACUAAACAUUAAAACUAAUCUAGCGCCUAGAAGAACUGAUUUAGUAAUAAAGUUUUUUUUAAAUAGUAGUGAUAUUUUUCUUAAAAAAAUAGUUUUAAUAUUAUUACAACUAUUUAUUAGUGACAUAUUAAAUAAGAUUUUUUUUUUGUGUCAGUACAUUAACUAAUCUAAUAAUACAAAAAUGUGUUAAAAUUUUAAAUAUAUAUUCAUCAUAUUUGAUAUAUAUUUUUGUUUUUAAAAGGAAUAAUAUUUAUAUAUUAUAUAUAUACCGACGACUCUGAUAGUUGAUGGGUAUAAUUUGAUAACUGAAAAAAAAAAACUAACUAAUUUGAUUUUAACUGAAAUUCGUUUUAACUAAAACUGAAUUCAGUUUUGUUCAUUUUAAUUAAUAAAAAAACAAACUAAUUGAUGGCUAUGAUUUGAUAACUGAAAAUUAAUUUUAACUGAUUUUUUUUAAUUUAAUAAAAAGAACAAUGAAAAAAAAAACUUCAAAUAAUGAAAGAUUAUAUUUUAACGAGAAAAAAAAUCUGUAAUUAUAAAUAUAUAUAUUUAGUAUUAAAGUAGUGCAUUAUUAAAUAAAAAUAAAACAACCCUAUGAAUCAGUCAAAAUUUAUUUAAAGCAACAGUUAAAACUUAAAAGUAUACGUUGAGGUCCCCUCAUUUCUUCUGUAAUCAUAUUCAAAAAACAAUGAUAUGAAGCACGAUGAGUGAGAUAGGCACAAAUUGGAUUGCGCCACUCCACCAAUAAUACUGAUCCAACAGCACCGAAGGAGGGCCAAGGCAAGUUAACGUGUUGGAUUCUCGUUGGACCACUCGGUAAUCUGCUAAUGGGCCAUUUAAUUGAAGUCAAGUUUCAGUUUUUCCCUAGUCAAAUAAUUCAUCAAUCACUUAUUUGUUUUUACUGAAUUAAAAGUAAAAAUAAAAUAAAUAAAAAUCGAUUUUCUGUCAUCAAAUCACAUCCAUUCAAUUUUUACUGAAUUAAAAAUAAAUAAAAAACAAAACCACCUUUUAAUGGUAUAAGCAGCACUUUGAUUUCCUCUUGUGAAGAUGUAUUUAAAAUUUAUGUGACCAGCAUUGUAGGACCAAAUUUAAAACAAACCCAAAGCCCAACAGAUUACCCAAAAUCUAACCCACAUCUCUCAGCCCAAUAUACAAAACAAAACACAAGCCCACAUAAUACCUAGCCCAAAUACCAAUAAAACAAAAAAGGAAAUGAGAAACCCAGCAUCAGGGAAGCCAGCGCCGCAAGCCUGAAUCCGGGCUCCGCACGUCGCGCAACUCCGAGUCGUGCGCCACACCACCUCCCCGCGAUCUCCGCUUGGCACCAGCAAGCACGCAACAAGUAGUUAGAAAUUAGGCUAUAUAAACUCGUUUAAACAGUGUAUUUUUUUUUACAUUUUUUUUGGAUUUAAAAAAGAGAAUAUACGAACAAAUACCACAAGACACAGAGGAAAAUCGCAGAGAAAUUGAUUGUUAGGUGAUUUUCUUUCAGAUCUCACACCUUUUAAGUUUCGAUUUGUUUUUCUUUCUCAAAAAUAGUACUAGAAAGGGGAAAAAUGAAUACACUUACCGCGUGUUUUAAAACGGGGUUGAAACCCCUAUUGCGCGAUGUCGGCCACUAGAUCUGGUGGUGGUCCGGCGAUGAUGGGCGCGUUCACUGGUCCUAGCAGAGGGAAGAAGGGUGAAAGCCCCUUUGUUUUUUCCAGUUUCGGCAAAUGGGUUGGUAAAUGGGGUGUUUUAAUUUUGCUUUAGAAAAUGGCAGACAACCCUUUGGUUUUUCUGGUUUUAAUUGCAAAGGGAAUAGCGCCACUUUACUUUUUUGGUUUUAUUCUGCUUUUGAUCCUUCUGUGAUUUCUAUCUUUUCAAUGUUUU
rnacentral:lncRNA from 1 species